rnacentral:rRNA from 1 species
UACACUCCUGCGGGAGGCAGCAGUGGGGAAUUUUGGACAAUGGGCGAAAGCCUGAUCCAGCAAUGCCGCGUGAGUGAAGAAGGCCUUCGGGUUGUAAAGCUCUUUUGUCAGGGAAGAAACGGUGAGAGCUAAUAUCUCUUGCUAAUGACGGUACCUGAAGAAUAAGCACCGGCUAACUACGUGCCAGCAGCCGCGGUAAUACGUAGGGUGCAAGCGUUAAUCGGAAUUACUGGGCGUAAAGCGUGCGCAGGCGGUUUUGUAAGUCUGAUGUGAAAUCCCCGGGCUCAACCUGGGAAUUGCAUUGGGGACUGCAAGGCUAGAAUCUGGCAGAGGGGGGUAGAAUUCCACGUGUAGCAGUGAAAUGCGUAGAUAUGUGGAGGAACACCGAUGGCGAAGGCAGCCCCCUGGGUCAAGAUUGACGCUCAUGCACGAAAGCGUGGGGAGCAAACAGGAUUAGAUACCCCGGUAGUCCC